GGACCCCGAGCUGUUAUGCUCCAUACUGGGAGCUGCUACUGGGCUGUACUGGUCUGUACUGGGAGCUGCUACUGGGCUGUACUGGUCUGUACUGGGAAUAUUAAUAUCUAUUAGGAGCUGUUACUGGUCUGUACUGGUCUGUACUGGGAAUAUUAAUAUGUAUUAGGAACUGUUACUGGUCUGUACUGGUCUGUACUGGGAGCCGUUACUGGUCUGUACUGGUCUCCGUUACUGGGCUGUACUGGUCUGUACUGGGAAUAUUAAUAUGUAUUAGGAACUGUUACUGGUCUGUACUGGUCUGUACUGGGAGCCGUUACUGGGCUGUACUGGUCUGUACUGGGAAUAUUAAUAUGUAUUAGGAGCUGUUACUGGUCUGUACUGGGAGCCGUUACUGGGCUGUACUGGUCUGUACUGGUCUGUACUGGGAGCUGUUACUGGGCUGUACUGGUCUGUACUGGGAAUAUUAAUAUGUAUUAGGAGCUGGUA